AAUCUACGUUAGUCGGGUCUCGCUGCCCUUUGCUCUCGAGACCCUAGUCUCUCUCACCUCAUUCGCUGGCGAAGCCUCGAUUCCCUCCUCGUUACCCUCUCGCCGCCAUGGCCGGCGCCACAAAAGAAUUCCCCCAGGGGAGCCGACGGCGUCGUCCCUGUUGUCCUCGAUCGCUCCGAAGUCCGCAGUGCAAUUUGUACCAAAAAAAUAGACCUCAGUGUAAUCAUUCCAUGCCUUUUCUAUACCUAUACUUUCUCCUCCUCUACUCGAUUUUCCCUGAUUCGAAUCAAGGGUUCAAGAUUUCUUGCUUUACGAGCCGGAAUAUUUGCAGCAGAUUUGAAGAGUUAGGUCAAUUUUGAUGUGCAACCACUAAGCAAGCUUUGAUUUUGGCUUUGUUUCCCAAAUUGCUACCCUUUCAUGGAAGUAAAAAAAAAAAAACUUCGAUCUUGUUGAUUUGUAUGAGGAAAAGACACCUUUUGAGCUUGCUGGAAGUUUCUUGGUGUGGCUGCAAGUUUAUUUAAGCUUAUAGAUAGUGAGGUUAUAGCAAUGCCUCUGUUACUCUCCGAGUCCCCACUUUCGGAUAGAUAGUUUGUAAGAGGGACUGGAGACAUUCUUUUCUUUUAUGCUCUAGAUUCUUAUUGACAACUAGUUUUCAUGCAGCUAUUACAGUUAACAGUGCAGAAUAAUCUCGGGUAUCCUUUGAUCAAGUCGUUUGUUAUGAUCUAUAUUUAUUAUUUGCACGACAAAAUAAUUGGAACAUGAAUGAAUAUCUGAUGCUAGCGGUUAUGAUGGAGAAGCUAUACCUGGGAUUUUGUAGUUUUGUGACCCAACAGGGAAUCAGUGCUUUUGUGAAGUUGAUGAUGUGUAUUCUCGAGAUGGUUUCAAACUCUGCAAGCUAAUCAGUCAAGUUCCUUGUUUUGAAUAAGCUCUUCAUUUAAUGCUCAGACUUAUGGUAAACUUUAUAUUUUUUAUGCAGGACAUCUCUGAGGAAGGCAAUUCUCUGCCACAUCAUUUUGAUGAAGCCAUCAGACAUGUUAAGCUGCUCUCUGGAGAAAUUGGUUCUCUUUAUGGCAAGCCUGUAGCAAUGGAGUUUUAGGAGCUUGCACCGGUUGAAGGCUGUCUUAUCAACUGCUACAAGAAGGAGGUGUCUGAUCAAGAACUUGGUGUCCUCCCCUUCUCGCAAGCUCUGAAGGAAGAGGUCUAGCAUGCCAUUCUCCUCUAUAUAUGCCUUGUUUAAUACUGCUAUGAUCAGGGUCUUGUUUGGCAUGGAGACUUUCUGUAAAGUUGUUUCUAGCUUAUCUUUGGAGGCAGUAUCUAUCUGACCAUAAACAACAAUAAGGUAUUGUGGCAUUCAAUAUGCCAUUAGAUGCCUUCCAGACUUCGAGAACGGCCUUCAGAUCAAUGAGCUUGGUUUUCACACCAACGCAACAAUUUGCAUGUACUGUGGUCACUUUUCUGAAAUCCUUGCUAUCUUGACAGAACCCACUAAAGUAUGCUGUGUCCAAGAACCUUACUUUCAUGCCCAACCGCCUGAAUGCACCCUGAGAUUUCAUCCGAGCCAGAACAUCUUGUUCUUUCAUGCCUGCCGAGUUAUUCCUUGAUGCAUACCAUUCAUCAAAUAGUGCAAUUGUUCUGUUGUUUGAUGCCACAAAGUAGAAGCCAGUGUUAAUGAAAUUGGAAGCAUCCAAUGGCCGGCCAUUGUAAAAAUCAGUACUUAUUUGCAUGUCUUCUCCAUCAUGAUUUAACUUGGCAAAUGGAUUUCUCAGCCACAUCACGUCCAUAUCCUGACAACAGAAAGGAGAGGAACCAAGUCCGAGAAUUUGAAUUAUAGACCAUAAAAUGAUGAUUUGAUCAACUAUUAUUUCUUUGAACCGAAAAAUCAUUUGAGUUCUCAAACUGCUGUAUAUCUGUUAUUUUGACUUACUGUGAAGAUGAAGUUGUACCCAUGACGGAGAAUGUCCCCAAGGAGGAGAGUUCUUUGCCACAUCAUUUUGAUGAAGCCAUCAGACAUGUAAAACUGCUCUUUGGAGAAAUCAAUGCCCUUUGUGACAAGUUGGUAGCAGUGGAGUUUUAGGAGCCGGCACUGGUCGAAAGCUAUCUGAUCCACUGCCACAAGUAGGAGGUGUCUGAUCAGGAACUUGGUGUCCUCCCCUUCUUGCAAACUUUGAAGGAACAGGUCUAGCAUGCCGUUCUUCUCCACAUAUUUCUUGUUUAUUAUGGCAACUAUCAGGGUCUUGUUUUCCAUGGAAACUUCCUGUAAAGCUCUUUCAAGCUCAUCUUUGCUGGCAUCAUUUUUCUGACCACAAAAAAGACACGAGUUCAGAGAAACUCUCAUCAUUUUUUAGUAGAAAAUCUACGAAUUGCAAUAAUGUGAAUUUUUAAGAUGUUUAGCUAUGAAAUAUAUGCUGAAAUUUUCUUGAAGUGCGUUAUUUACAUGUUGAUUCAUGGAAAAUGAUUUUUUUUUUAAAAUAAAUGCUCACCUUCCCAGGGCAUCCCUUGCGUUCCGGCCAUGUGACUCUCGAUGUGCCAUUAAAUGUCUUCCAGACUUCAAGGAUAGCUUUCAGAUCAAUGAGCUUGGAUUUCGCACUACAGCAACAAUUUGCAUGCACUGUAGUCACUUUGCUGAAAUCCUUGUUGUCUUGACAGAACCCACUAAAGUAUGCUGUGUCUAAGAAUCUGACUUUCAUGCCCAACCGCCUAAAUGCACCCUGAGAUUUCAUCCGAGCCAGUGCAUCUUGUUCUUUCAUGCCUGCAGAGUUGUUCCUUGAUGCAUACCAUUCAUCAAAUAGUGCAAUUGUUCUGUUGUUUGAUGCCACAAAGUAGAAGCCAGUGUUAAUGAAAUUGGAAUCAUCUAAUGGUCGACCAUUGUAAAAAUCACAGCUUAUUUGCAUGUCUUCUCCAUCAUAACUCAACUUGGCAAAUGGGUUUCUCAGCCACAGAACGUCCAUAUCCUGAUAGCAGCAAGGAAAGGCUUCUAGGAUGGUGAUGUGCUUCGGGAUUAGCUUUCUGAAUCAGAAUAGCAUUUGAAUUGAAGAUGUGGUUCUGUAUUUUGACUUACAGUGAAGAUGAAGCUGUACCCACGACGGAGUAUCUCCCCAAGGAAGAGAGUUCUUUGCCACAUCAUGUUGAUGAAAUUCUCAGACAUGUAAAACGCCUCUCUGGAGAAGUCGGCACCAUCUGUGUCGAGCUUGUAGCAGUGGAGUUCCAGGGCCCUGCACUUGUUGAAGGCAGUUUGAUCAACUGCGACAAAAAGGAAGUGUCUGAUCAAGAACUUGGUGUCCUCCCCUUCUCGCAAGCUCUGAAGGAAGAGAUCUAGCAUGCCAUUCUCCUCCACAUAUUUUUUGUUUAUGACUGCAAUUAUUAGGGUCUUAUUCACCAUGGAAGCUCUCUCCAAAGCUGUUUCUAGUUCAUCUUUAGCCGCAACUUCUGUCUGAUCACAUACAAGGAAGUUCAUGAGCAAUGUUUGAACUAUUUAGAUUUGUCCUGAGAGAGUUUAUAUUGGAUCAUUAUGUGUUGUCAAGGAAAUGAACUAUGAACCU